AUCCAGCUAACGCAUGCUAAAUAGGACGAAACGCGCGUUCUGGAU
rfam:Schistosoma rodhaini strain Burundi genome assembly, scaffold: SROB_scaffold0003745